rnacentral:tmRNA from 1 species
UCUGGAUUCGACGACGGUAACGAACCCUGAGGUGCAUGCCGUGAUGGCAGCGAAUCACGUUAAUCAAAAGCUGUAAACUUAUAGUUGCCAACGACGACAACUACGCUCUGGCGGCAUAAACCCCGCUAGCGGUCUUUAGCAAGGUGCCAGUAUCGCGCUACUGACCGUCAUAUAGAACUGGAUCGCAGCAAAGCGCGCCCUGGGCCGCGUUGCUAAACUUUUACAGGGCUCGCCAAUCACGUCCUGCCCGUUGGGCUGUGUGCGGUUAAACUAAUUAACGGAAUCUAAGCAUGUAGAGCCGAAGGCAGAGUGCUGGCGGACGCGGGUUCGAUUA